rnacentral:rRNA from 1 species
AGAGUUUGAUCAUGGCUCAGAACGAACGCUGGCGGCGUACUUAACACAUGCAAGUCGGACGAGAAAUUCCGAUUCGUCGGGAGAGUAAAGUGGCGAACGGGUGAGUAACACGAGGGUAAUCUACCUUAAAUUAGGGAUAACCUUGCGAAAGCGAAGCUAAUACCUGAUAAGACUACGAUCUCCAAGGGGAUAGUAGGAAAAGAUGGCCUCUGUUUCAUGCUAUUGUUUAAGGAUGAGCCCUUGCACUAUUAGCUUGUUGGUGAGGUAAUGGCCCACCAAGGCUACGAUGGUUAGCUGGUCUGAGAGGAUGAUCAGCCACACUGGAACUGAGACACGGUCCAGACUCCUACGGGAGGCAGCAGUGAGGAAUAUUGCGCAAUGGGGGAAACCCUGACGCAGUGACGCCGCGUGAGCGAUGAAGGCUUUCGAGUCGUAAAGCUCUGUUAGGUGGAAAGAAACAUUCCAGUGCCAAUACCACUGGAAUUUGACGGUACCACCAGAGGAAGCACCGGCUAACUCCGUGCCAGCAGCCGCGGUAAUACGGAGGGUGCAAGCGUUGUUCGGAUUUACUGGGCGUAAAGGGCGUGUAGGCGGCUAGGCAAGUCAGGUGUGAAAUCCCUUGGCUCAACCAAGGAAGUGCAUUUGAAACUGCUUAGCUAGAGUACAGGAGGGGAAAGUGGAAUUCCCAGUGUAGAGGUGAAAUUCAUAGAUAUUGGGAGGAACACCAGUAGCGAAGGCGGCUUUCUGGCCUGAUACCGACGCUGAGACGCGAAAGCGUGGGGAGCAAACAGGAUUAGAUACCCUGGUAGUCCACGCCGUAAACGAUGUGCACUAGGUGUAGGAAGUGUUGACCCUUUCUGUGCCGAAGCUAACGCAUUAAGUGCAUCGCCUGGGGAGUACGGUCGCAAGGCU